GUUAUUUGUCGCGAUGAGGAAGGGCAGAUUCUAAUUCUAAAAGAUGUUUGGAAUGUGUCCGACUGUCUCAGCUGCGAGUGUACAGAGGGUCGUCUGAAAUGCAAGAGGACACUUCAAGUCAACUUCCCAGGCAAACACUUGGCAUACGUACCUUUUAAUGAGUCCUGUGAACAACCAGGGUGUAACGCUAUGGAGUUUAUUAAAGCCAGGAGAGAAACUUGUGAAGUAAUUGAAACCGUCGAAGGUGGCCACAUUUUGUCACGAGGAGACAACUGGGACUACAAAGGGUGUCAAUUCCUCUUUGAAGGACACAAGCAGAUCACAGGGUGCCCAAAAAUGUCUCUAUCAACCUGUUAUAUCUACAAUGGAGCAGUCUGUUGUGCUGAGAAAU